UACGAAGGGGGCUAGCGUUGCUCGGAAUCACUGGGCGUAAAGCGCACGUAGGCGGAUUGCUAAGUCAGGGGUGAAAUCCUGGAGCUCAACUCCAGAACUGCCUUUUGAUACUGGCGACCUUGAGUCCGGGAGAGGUGAGUGGAACUGCGAGUGUAGAGGUGAAAUUCGUAGAUAUUCGCAAGAACACCAGUGGCGAAGGCGGCUCACUGGCCCGGUACUGACGCUGAGGUGCGAAAGCGUGGGGAGCAAACAGG
rnacentral:rRNA from 1 species